rnacentral:rRNA from 1 species
GACGAACGCUGGCGGCGUGCUUAACACAUGCAAGUCGAACGGUAAGGCCCUUUCGGGGGUACACGAGUGGCGAACGGGUGAGUAACACGUGGGUGAUCUGCCCUGCACUUUGGGAUAAGCCUGGGAAACUGGGUCUAAUACCGGAUAGGACUACGCGAUGCAUGUCGUGUGGUGGAAAGCUUUUGCGGUGUGGGAUGGGCCCGCGGCCUACCAGCUUGUUGGUGGGGUGAUGGCCUACCAAGGCGACGACGGGUAGCCGGCCUGAGAGGGUGUCCGGCCACACUGGGACUGAGAUACGGCCCAGACUCCUACGGGAGGCAGCAGUGGGGAAUAUUGCACAAUGGGCGCAAGCCUGAUGCAGCGACGCCGCGUGGGGGAUGACGGCCUUCGGGUUGUAAACCCCUUUCAGCACAGACGAAGCGUAAGUGACGGUAUGUGCAGAAGAAGCACCGGCCAACUACGUG